GCUUCUUUUGUGUGAGUUCGGUCAUGAAGCGCCAGAGCAGAUGCGUAAGUGAACGCUUUUGGACACUUGGGGCAUUUGAAAGGUAGAUCGCCUGCGUGGAACCUCUCGUGCCUGAUCAGACCUCUCAGAUCUGUGGAAAACAUCCUGAAAUCAAGCAAGUGCUCCAAGUGUUGAUCAGACCAAGGAGGUUUAAUGCAGGCGAGCCAUCAAAUGAAUCGCUUAUCUGCCGUAAAGGGCAAACGUUGGUGAAGUUACUAUAUCCAGGUGUGGCUGAAUGGUCUCAAGGUCUAUUGUCUGCUCUGAGCGACACAACUCCAGCGCAAGCUAGAACCAAGAGAAGAACCUGUAACUCUGGCUGCACAUUGCAAAAGACCUAUCGAUAGUUCAG